rnacentral:rRNA from 1 species
GACAAACGCUGGCGGCGUGCUUAACACAUGCAAGUCGAGCGAGAAACCCUCUUCGGAGGGAGUACAGCGGCGAACGGGUGAGUAACACGUGGGCAACCUGCCCCAAGGAGCGGGACAACCCGGGAAACCGGGCUAAUACCGCAUGAUCCGCGGUGCCUCAAGGCACUUCGGUAAAUGGUAGCUUCGGCCUCCGCCUUGGGAUGGGCCCNCGGCGCAUUAGCUAGUUGGUGAGGUAAUGGCNCACCAAGGCGACGAUGCGUAGCUGGUCUGAGAGGACGAUCAG